GACAUGAAGACCUGUCAGCGAGCAGACUGUUUUGAUGCUGACCCACGGGACGCACCUGUGUGUCCCUGCUCCACACGGCAGGCGGGCCCCAGCCAGGGUGCCACACGCCGCACGUGGCCCUUCCUGAAAGCUGGCAGGCUGCGUAUGUUACUUCAAAAGACUUUGUUCCUUUCAACUUUCAGUUCCUGAGACACUGAUUUGUAAAUUUUGAAAAUAUUAAAGAGUUAAAAUACACAGUUUGAGCCCCAGAAUAAAGUUUUCAUGGUCUUACAUGUUUGUUAGUAAAAGAAUAGUGCUUUGUGUAUCUGCUCAGUGUUUGAAACGCAACACUGGUUGGCCUGCUCCGUUUAACUUGAACCUAAACUACUGGGGAGCAGCGAUGCCGCCGUGCGUCCCCGUCAUACAGGCUAGAAGUGCUACUGUAUUUUUAGGCUGCCUUGUUCAGUGUAAAUUCAGGAAAACCUGUAAGUAAACUAAGAGCAAAACUAAAUUAAAUGUGUUCUUUGUUUAAAUAAUGUAAACUCAUAAGCAGAUAAUUUAGGUAUAAGAACUAACGUCUGAGGUAAAGUGCUAUUGUAGAUAGCCACCUGCCUCUGCUCACACAGUCAAGGGUUUAUUGGCCAUUCUCCCAUUUGUGGAUCUAACUUUGAUUUUGAUAUUCCUUCACUGCUUUACAUAAUUCACUGGAGAGUUCAACUAAUCAGGUUGAAAAUAUCAACUGAAUACCACGUUGCACGUUUCUGUAAAGUCAAUGAAAAGCUACUUGAGACUGCUGUCGGUUCUUUAGCACAUGCCCCGCCUGACUGCAGUGUUCCCUGCUUCACUGUGAGUGUGACGCUGACCUGGGUUACGGCCUGACACCAGCCCUGGGCUGGUUGUAUGACUGCUGGUGUUCACAGUCCUACUGGACUCAAACGUCCUCUGAGUGGAGCCCAGUCCUUUUCAGCAGUAGCACACAGCACGUCUUUUUCUUUCCCCCGAAGCCUGAACCCACUGCGGUGAUGGACUGUGGCUUUUACAUUUGUCCCUGAAGGAUGUAAUCUCAGAAGUUCAAUGCUGUUCACUUGCAAAUAAACUUCCUAAAACAUGAAAA